GAGGGUAUAGCUCAAGUGGUAGAGCCCAUGCUUAGCACACAUGAGGUCCUGGUUCAAUCCCCAGUACCUCCU
rnacentral:tRNA from 1 species